GACGGGGGGUCCUAGCGUUGUUCGGAAUCAUUGGGCGUAAAGCGUGUGCAGGCUGUUCGAUAAGUUGGAUGUGAAAGCCUUGGGCUUAACCCAAGAAGUGCAUUCAAAACUAUCAGACUUGAGUACGGAAGAGGAUCGUGGAAUUCCUAGUGUAGUGGUGAAAUACGUAGAUAUUAGGAGGAACACCGGUUGCGAAGGCGGCGAUCUGGUCCAGUACUGACGCUCAUACACGAAAGCGUGGGGAUCAAACAGG
rnacentral:rRNA from 1 species